AGCCAGAGGAUACAUUAUAUAAUAUACGCAAAACGACCGAGGCGGCUACCAAGGAAUCAAUGAUAAUCAGGACAAUCAAGGUUGUCCCAGCCACUAAAUCAUUGCGGGUCAGGCUUUUUGGGAAGUUUUUGAUAUAGCAAAGUUAAAGUUUUUGGUGACUGUUGGUUGGAAGCUACUUGCUUUUGGUUUGCAUGUCUAUGAUGGAGAUUGCUGGAACUCUUGUGGCUUUAGAGAAAUCGCUUUGCCCACUGAAUCACCUGGCCAUUUGUCAAAUUGAAUACAAGGAAAUGAGAGUGCCCUGUUGUGGAUUCUUCUUGUAACAAGUCCAUAAGACAUGCCUCGUCCCUGAUGCAAAUGAUGUCUUUGCUGGAGAAAAUGAAAUUGUAAUGGGGAAUGUGUUCCCGGAGAUGAUUCAAAAACGCUAUUGAAAGGACCAAUCACCAUUCAG